rnacentral:rRNA from 1 species
UACGUAGGGAGCAAGCGUUGUCCGGAAUCAUUGGGCGUAAAGCGCGCGUAGGCGGCCCGGUAAGUCCGCUGUGAAAGUCGGGGGCUCAACCCUCGGAUGCCGGUGGAUACUGUCGGGCUAGAGUGCGGAAGAGGCGAGUGGAAUUCCUGGUGUAGCGGUGAAAUGCGCAGAUAUCAGGAGGAACACCAAUUGCGAAGGCAGCUCGCUGGGACGUGAACUGACGCUGAGACGCGAAAGCGUGGGGAGCAAACAGG